rnacentral:tRNA from 1 species
GCCAGCGUGGUGUAGUGGUUUGAACAUUGGACUACAACUCUGAAGACCAAGGUUCAAUUCCCCACUGGAA